GAUGAACGCUAGCUACAGGCUUAACACAUGCAAGUCGAGGGGAAACGGCAUUGAGUGCUUGCACUCUUUGGACGUCGACCGGCGCACGGGUGAGUAUCGCGUAUCCAACCUGCCCUUUACUUGGGGAUACCCCGUUGAAAGACGGUCUAAUACCCGAUGUAAUUCAUUGAUGGCAUCAGAUAUGAAUAAAAGAUUUAUCGGUAAAGGAUGGGGAUGCGUCUGAUUAGCUUGUUGGUGAGGUAAAGGCUCACCAAGGCGACGAUCAGUAGGGGUUCUGAGAGGAAGGUCCCCCACAUUGGAACUGAGACACGGUCCAAACUCCUACGGGAGGCAGCAGUGAGGAAUAUUGGUCAAUGGGCGCAAGCCUGAACCAGCCAAGUAGCGUGCAGGAAGACGGCCCUAUGGGUUGUAAACUGCUUUUAUACGAGAAUAAUUUGAUGCACGUGUGCGUUAUUGCAUGUAUCGUAUGAAUAAGGACCGGCUAAUUCCGUGCCAGCAGCCGCGGUAAUACGGAAGGUCCAGGCGUUAUCCGGAUUUAUUGGGUUUAAAGGGAGUGUAGGCGGUUUGUUAAGCGUGUUGUGAAAUUUAGAUGCUCAACAUUUAACUUGCAGCGCGAACUGGCGAACUUGAGUGCACACAACGUAUGCGGAAUUCAUGGUGUAGCGGUGAAAUGCUUAGAUAUCAUGAAGAACUCCGAUUGCGAAGGCAGCAUACGGGAGUGUAACUGACGCUUAAGCUCGAAGGUGCGGGUAUCGAACAGG
rnacentral:rRNA from 1 species